rnacentral:rRNA from 1 species
GACGAACGCUGGCGGCGUGCCUAAUACAUGCAAGUCGAGCGGACGGAUGGGAGCUUGCUCCCAGACCGUCAGCGGCGGACGGGUGAGUAACCCGUGGGCAACCUGCCUGUAAGACUGGGAUAACUCCGGGAAACCGGGGCUAAUACCGGAUAACUCUUUCCCUCACCUGAGGGCAAGCUGAAAGAUGGCAUUUCGCUAUCACUUACAGAUGGGCCCGCGGCGCAUUAGCUAGUUGGUGAGGUAACGGCUCACCAAGGCGACGAUGCGUAGCCGACCUGAGAGGGGGAUCGGCCACACUGGGACUGAGACACGGCCCAGACUCCUACGGGAGGCAGCAGUAGGGAAUCUUCCGCAAUGGACGAAAGUCUGACGGAGCAACGCCGCGGGAGUGAUGAAGGUUUUCGGAUCGUAAAACUCUGUUGUCAGGGAAGAACAAGUACCGGAGUAACUGCCGGUACCUUGACGGUACCUGACCAGAAAGCCACGGCUAACUACGUG